rnacentral:rRNA from 1 species
GAUGAACGCUGACAGAAUGCUUAACACAUGCAAGUCUACUUGAACUUCGGUUUGGGUGGCGGACGGGUGAGUAACGCGUAAAGAACUUGCCUCACAGUUAGGGACAACAUUUGGAAACGAAUGCUAAUACCUGAUAUUAUGAUUUUAGGGCAUCCUAAGAUUAUGAAAGCUAUAUGCGCUGUGAGAGAGCUUUGCGUCCCAUUAGCUAGUUGGAGAGGUAACGGCUCACCAAGGCGAUGAUGGGUAGCCGGCCUGAGAGGGUGAACGGCCACAAGGGGACUGAGACACGGCCCUUACUCCUACGGGAGGCAGCAGUGGGGAAUAUUGGACAAUGGACCAAAAGUCUGAUCCAGCAAUUCUGUGUGCACGAUGACGUUUUUCGGAAUGUAAAGUGCUUUCAGUUGGGAAGAAAAAAAUGACGGUACCAACAGAAGAAGUGACGGCUAAAUACGUGCCAGCAGCCGCGGUAAUACGUAUGUCACAAGCGUUAUCCGGAUUUAUUGGGCGUAAAGCGCGUCUAGGUGGUUAUGUAAGUCUGAUGUGAAAAUGCAGGGCUCAACUCUGUAUUGCGUUGGAAACUGCAUGACUAGAGUACUGGAGAGGUAAGCGGAACUACAAGUGUAGAGGUGAAAUUCGUAGAUAUUUGUAGGAAUGCCGAUGGGGGAAGCCAGCUUACUGGACAGAUACUGACGCUAAAGCGCGAAAGCGUGGUAGCAAACAAGAUUAUAUACCCUUGUGUGUCCAAGGGCGAAUUCCACAGUGGAUAUCUGGCUUGUCGAGACCGUCGACCUUGCAGGGGGGGCCCGGAUAAACAAGUAUUUUGUCCACUUUGUUAUGGGUUAUUUAUGUGUUGUGUACCUUGUUAACUGUGACUAUGAUGAUCUUAGCCAUGUGUGAGAGUGGGUGUAGUGGGUGUGUGUUUUGUUUGUUAGCGUGUGUUUGUUCUGUGCGCGCUCGGUGGAUGUGUGGUAUAGUGAGUGAUGUGUUUUGCUGUUGUGCUUUGUGUUGGUGCCUGCUGAUAUGUUGUGUUUGUGAUGGUG